rnacentral:rRNA from 1 species
UACGUAGGAGGCGAGCGUUAUCCGGAUUUAUUGGGCGUAAAGAGCGCGUAGGUGGUGCCGUAAGUUGGGCGUGAAAGCCCCCGGCUUAACUGGGGAGGGUCGUUCAAUACUACGGUACUUGAGGGUGGAUGAGGAGUCUGGAACUCCCGGUGUAGUGGUGAAAUGCGUAGAUAUCGGGAAGAACACCAGUGGCGAAGGCGAGGCUCUAGGCCACUCCUGACACUGAGGCGCGAAAGCGUGGGGAGCGAAC